ensembl:misc_RNA 7SK 7SK RNA
ACAUGAGGGCAAUUCAUUAUCUGUUACUCCACUGAUUGCCAGGGUUGAAUUGGAUGAUCCGUUCGGCUAAGAAGGUGUCCCCUUCCUUCCUUCCUGCUCCCUGUGUGUUCUCCUGAGGCACACGAUGGAAGAAGAUGAUCAUGCCUGAAAGAAGGAUUCUUCAGUCCAUUUUUCAGUCAAGGGUAUGUGAUAGCUGCACUCCCUUGCUAUAACCUUCAAAGAAAAUAAAUAAAAAUAGGCAUGUAUGUGUGAACUGGCCCUCAGAAGCAUGUUUCAGCAUUCUUAAAUGGAUGCCUUGCCAUGAU